CCUACGGGAGGCAGCAGUGAGGAAUAUUGGUCAAUGGGCGUAAGCCUGAACCAGCCAAGUCGCGUGAGGGAUGAAGGUUCUAUGGAUCGUAAACCUCUUUUAUAAGGGAAUAAAGUGUGGGACGUGUCCUAUUUUGUAUGUACCUUAUGAAUAAGGAUCGGCUAACUCCGUGCCAGCAGCCGCGGUAAUACGGAGGCUCCGAGCGUUAUCCGGAGUUAUUGGGUUUAAAGGGUGCGUAGGCGGCCUGUUAAGUCAGCGGUGAAAGUUUGUGGCUCAACCAUAGAAUUGCCGUUGAAACUGGGGGGCUUGAGUAUGUUUGAGGCAGGCGGAAUUCGUGGUGUAGCGGUGAAAUGCGUAGAUAUCACGAAGAACCCCGAUUGCGAAGGCAGCCUGCCAAGCCAUGACUGACGCUGAUGCACGAAAGCGUGGGGAUCAAACAGGAUUAGAUACCCUUGUAGUC
rnacentral:rRNA from 1 species